CAUAACCAAAGAUAACUAGGGGAUUAAGUGUAGGAUUGCUAACAAAUCUAACAUCUCCACCACCUGGAGCCCAAGUGUCGUAUACCCCACCAAUAAAUAAAGCUUUAAUAACUAACAGAAAAGCGCCAAUGCCUAAUAACACUAAGUGUAUACCAAGUAUUGUUGUCAUUUUGUUUUUAUCCCGCCA
rnacentral:antisense_RNA from 12 species